rnacentral:tRNA from 1 species
GGCCCGUUAGUCAAGCGGUUAAGACACCGGGCUUUCAAUCCGGGAUCAGGGGUUCGAAUCCCCUACGGGUCACCA